CCUACGGGAGGCAGCAGUGGGGAAUAUUGCACAAUGGGCGAAAGCCUGAUGCAGCGACGCCGCGUGAGUGAAGAAGUAUUUCGGUAUGUAAAGCUCUAUCAGCAGGGAAGAAAAUGACGGUACCUGAUUAAGAAGCCCCGGCUAACUACGGUCCAGCAGCCGCCGUAAAACGGAGGGGGCAAGCGUUAUCCGGAGUUACGGGGGGGAAAGGGAGCGGAGACGGCAGUACAAGUCUGGAGUGAAAAGCCGUGGCUUAACCCCGGAACUGCUUUGGAAACUGGGAAGCUAGAGUGCAGGAGAGGUAAGUGGAAGUCCUAGUGUAGCGGUGAAAUGCGUAGAUAUUAGGAGGAACACCAGUGGCGAAGGCGGCUUACUGGACUGUAACUGACGUUGAGGCUCGAAAGCGUGGGGAGCAAACAGGAUUAGAUACCCGUGUAGUC
rnacentral:rRNA from 1 species